rnacentral:rRNA from 1 species
UAACAAUUGUAUGGGUGCCCGUACCGCAAACCGACGCAGGUGGGCGAGGAGAGAAUCCUAAGACGAACGGGAGAACCCUUGUUAAGGAACUCGGCAAAAUGACCCCGUAACUUCGGGAGAAGGGGUGCCUCGAAAGAGGCCGCAGAGAAUAGGCCCAAGCGACUGUUUAGCAAAAACACAGGUGUUUGCGAAAGCGAGAGCUGACGUAUAAGCGCUGACGCCUGCCCGGCGCUGGAAGGUUAAGAGGAGUUGUCAUCGCAAGAGAAGCAGCGAAUUGAAGCCCCAGUAAACGGCGGCCGUAACGAUAACGGUCCUAAGGUAGCGAAAUUCCUUGUCGGGUAAGUUCCGACCCGCACGAAUGGCGUAACGACUUGGGCGCUGUCUCAACAAGGGACCCGGUGAAAUUGAAGUAUGGGUGAAGAUGCCCAUUACCCGCGACUGGACGGAAAGACCCCGUAGAGCUUUACUGUAGCUUAUCAUUGGAUUUUGGCAACGGAUGCACAGGAUAGGUGGGACGCAGGGAAGUGAGUGCUUCGGCAUUCAUGGAGCGGCCGUUGGGAUACCACUCUUCUGUUGCUGAAAUUCUAACAACGUGCGGUGAUCCCGGCGAUGGACAGUGAUAGGUGGGCAGUUUGACUGGGGCGGUCGCCUCCCAAAGAGUAACGGAGGCGCCCAAAGGUUCCCUCAGAAUGGAUGGAAACCAUUCGAAGAGUGCAAUGGCAGAAGGGAGCCUGACUGCGAGACGGACAGGUCGAGCAGAGACGAAAGUCGGGCAUAGUGAUCCGGCGGUUUUGAGUGGAAAAGCCGUCGCUCAACGGAUAAAAGCUACCUCGGGGAUAACAGGCUGAUCUCCCCCAAGAGUCCACAUCGACGGGGAGGUUUGGCACCUUGAUGUCGGCUCGUCGCAUCCUGGGGCUGAAGCAGGUCCCAAGGGUUUGGCUGUUCGCCAAUUAAAGCGGCACGCGAGCUGGGUUCAGAACGUCGUGAGACAGUUCGGUCCCUAUCCAUCGUGGGCGCAGGAAUCAUGACGGGAGCUGUCCCUAGUACGAGAGGACCGGGAUGGACGCACCUCUGGUGCAACAGUUGUCGUGCCAACGGCAUAGCUGGGAAGCGAAGUGCGGACGGGAUAAACGCUGAAGGCAUCUAAGCAUGAAGCCCCCCUGAAGAAGAAGAUUCCCACUGCUUAGAGCAGGUAAGACCCCUUGAAGACGACAAGGUUGAUAGGUCGGCGGUGAAAGCAUGGCAACAUGUGUAGCUUGCCGGUACUAAUCGGUCGAGGGCUUGAUC